AGACACCAAUCCUAUCAGAUUAGGGCCCCACCCUUAUGAUCUCAGUUAACCUUAAUUACUUCUAUAAAGGCCAGGUCUCCAAAUACAGUCACACGGGGAGCUAGGGCUUCAACCUAUGGCUUUUGGGGGAUACAGUUCAGUCCAUAGCAGUGGGGAAAGGAUGUGACUCAGUCUAGAGAGACUCAAGGAGGGAAUGCUUAGAUAGGAGCAUGGAGGGCGUGCCUGGUGAAGGGAACAGUAUGGCACAGCUUCAGAGGCAAGGGUGAGCCAGCAGCAAGGGGCUGGCUAUGGCCGGUACAAAAAGCAUGUGCUCGUGGGAAAUAGGCACCAAAGAAGGCCCAGAGAGGUUUAACAACUUCCUCAGAAUCACACAGCUUCCAAAUGGUUGGGUUGGGUUUACAUUUAGGCGGUCUUGCUCCAGAGCCAGUGCUCCUAACCUUUGCAAGCCACGAACCUCAAGAAAGUGGAGAAGGAAACGCUGGGAAAUCUGGAAGUCAGACAUGGCAAAUGAUGAAGGUUUAAGAAGCAGCAUCAUCAGCGAACUGUGUUUUGAAGAUUUGAGGGAAGGGCUGACCUCAGGAUUUUAUACUAGUUGCUGACCUCCAUAACAGCAGACAAAAUUGGAAGCAAGAGUGAUUUUGGAGGAGUCACACUUAGAUGUUUCCCUUACCUAUUUCUGUUCUGGAAAUUUAAAAAUCUUACUUCUCGUGACAGUCCUACAUGAAAAAUUAAAAAUCACAAGGAUUCAUGGAUGGAAAACUGAGACUCAGAGAAUGAUCACAUUCACAUCGUAAUAAAUCAGCAAUAGAGUGAGUGAUUGUUCCUUGGUAAGAAAUCAACUCUAAACUCAGUUGGAAACCUUUGCCAAUAUUACUUAACACAUGACAAUCUGGUGUGACUCAUUUUUCUUGACAUUAUGCAAAUAAAGGAAACAAGACU
rnacentral:lncRNA from 1 species